UCCCGUAGUAAGUGACAACAACGAAAAGGACCCAUCGUUAACGGAUAGGUGCGUCAGUGACAUUUUUGGAGAAAAAAGUAGGGCAUUCCUGUAAUCAUGACAUGAUAAUGGAAUACAAAUGAGAGCUUCUAGUUUUAAUCCUGUAUAAGCAAAUCAAAGUGUGCAAUGGGUGAUUGUGGCUUGCUGUGGAGUGUUAUGUGGGCAGUGAUUCUGAUCGUGUUUGGAUGGCCGAUUGGACUGAUUUGUGCGUUAUUUUAUUGUCUCCUUAGUCCGUGUGCUGCCUGUUGUCAAAGCUGCGCAGAACUGAUAAACUUACUGGACCGUGGUGUGAAAUUACCCUUGACGUGUUCUCAAAACAUGGUGACUGGAAAGUCAAUGUGUUAAUUUUUUUUCUCGUGUUUCAAGACCAUGACGGAUACUUGUUUUACUUUUGAAAGUGUCAUUUUUUU